GUAUAAGAGACAGCAGUAGCCACGGUAAUACGAAGGGUGCAAGCGUUAAUCGGAAUUACUGGGCGUAAAGCGUGCGUAGGCGGUGAGUUAAGUCUGCUGUGAAAUCCCCGGGCUCAACCUGGGAAUGGCAGUGGAUACUGGCUCGCUAGAGUGUGUCAGAGGAUGGUGGAAUUCCCGGUGUAGCGGUGAAAUGCGUAGAGAUCGGGAGGAACAUCAGUGGCGAAGGCGGCCAUCUGGGACAACACUGACGCUGAGGCACGAAAGCGUGGGGAGCAAACAGGAUUAGAUACCCCUGUAGUCCCUGUCUCUUAUAC
rnacentral:rRNA from 1 species